GAUGAAGAACGUAGCGAAAUGCGAUAAGUAAUGUGAAUUGCAGAAUUCAGUGAAUCAUCGAAUCUUUGAACGCACAUUGCGCCCGCCAGUAUUCUGGCGGGCAUGCCUGUUCGAGCGUCAUUAAACCCUCAGGCCCCCGGGCCUGGCGUUGGGGAUCGGCGGAGCCCCCCGUGGGCACACGCCGUCCCCCAAAUGCAGUGGCGGUCCCGCCGCAGCUUCCAUCGCGUAGUAGCUAACACCUCGCGACUGGAGAGCGGCGCGGCCACGCCGUAAAACACCCAACUCUUCUGAAGUUGACCUCGAAUCAGGUAGGAAUACCCGCUGAACUUAAGCAUAUCAAUAAGCGGAGGA
rnacentral:misc_RNA from 1 species